CUCCGGUUGAUCCUGCCGGACCUGACUGCUAUCGGAUUGUAUAAAGCCAUGCGAGUCGUUGUAGCAAUACAAGGCGGACGGCUCAGUAACACGUAGUCAACCUAACCUAUGGACGUGGAUAACCUCGGGAAACUGAGAAUAAACCGCGAUAGAUCAUUAUGCCUGGAAUGGCUUAUGGUUUAAACAAUUUAUUGCCGUAGGAUGGGACUGCGGCCUAUCAGCUUGUUGGUGAGGUAAUGGCCCACCAAGGCUAUAACAGGUACGGGCUCUGAGAGGAGAAGCCCGGAGAUGGGUACUGAGACACGGACCCAGGCCCUAUGGGGCGCAGCAGGCGCGAAACCUUCGCAAUGCGCGAAAGCGUGACGAGGUUAAUCCGAGUGACUCCCGCUGAGGGGGUCUUUUGUCAGCUGUAAAUAGGCAGGCGAAUAAGGGGAGGGCAAGCCUGGUGUCAGCCGCCGCGGUAAUACCAGCUCCUCGAGUGGUCGGGGCGAUUAUUGGGCCUAAAGCAUCCGUAGCCGGUUCCGUAGGUCUUCUGUUAAAUCCAACCGCUCAACGGUUGACCUGCAGAGGAUACCGCGGGACUAGGAGGCGGGAGAGGCGGACGGUACUCCGCGUGUAGGGGUAAAAUCCUUUGAUCCGCGGAAGACCACCAGUGGCGAAGGCGGUCCGCCAGAACGCGCUCGACGGUGAGGGAUGAAAGCUGGGGGAGCGAACCGGAUUAGAUACCCGGGUAGUCCCAGCCGUAAACGAUGCUAGCUAGAUGAUUCAUUCGCAAGUCGCGAAUGAAGUGUCGCAGGGAAGCCGUUAAGCUAACCGCCUCUGGAGUACGGUCGCAAGACUGAAACUUCCCUGAAUUGGCGGGGGAGCAC
rnacentral:rRNA from 1 species